rnacentral:rRNA from 1 species
UACGUAGGGUCCGAGCGUUGUCCGGAAUUACUGGGCGUAAAGAGCUCGUAGGUGGUUUGUCGCGUUGUUCGUGAAAACUCACAGCUUAACUGUGGGCGUGCGGGCGAUACGGGCAGACUGGAGUACUGCAGGGGAGACUGGAAUUCCUGGUGUAGCGGUGGAAUGCGCAGAUAUCAGGAGGAACACCGGUGGCGAAGGCGGGUCUCUGGGCAGUAACUGACGCUGAGGAGCGAAAGCGUGGGGAGCAAACAGG